CGGUGGAAUUCUGCACCAACAGAAUUGACGCUAGAGGAAGGGGUUUGUGUCUUCGUAAAACUCUUGUUCUUAAAGGAGUGCUCAAUGGGACUAUCUCCGGUCAUCUUCUUCGACAUCUUCUUCUCCUUCUCCUACCAGAUCUCCAUCUGAUGUCUCCCCGAAAGGCAUCCACCAGGCGAUCCAUGGCCUCCGCGGCCAGAUCCCAGC
rnacentral:lncRNA from 1 species